AUUGAACGCUGGCGGCAUGCCUUACACAUGCAAGUCGAACGGUAACAGGUUAAGCUGACGAGUGGCGAACGGGUGAGUCAUGUAUCGGAACGUGCCCAGUCGUGGGGGAUAACUGCUCGAAAGAGCAGCUAAUACCGCAUACGACCUGAGGGUGAAAGCGGGGGAUCGCAAGACCUCGCGCGAUUGGAGCGGCCGAUAUCAGAUUAGGUAGUUGGUGAGGUAAAGGCUCACUAAGCCGACGAACUGUAGCUGGUCUGAGAGGACGACCAGCCACACUGGGACUGAGACACGGCCCAGACUCCUACGGGAGGCAGCAGUGGGGAAUUGUGGACAAUGGGCGGAAGCCUGUUCCAGCCAUGCCGCGUGCGGGAAGAAGGCCUUCGGGUUGUAAACCGCUUUUGUCAGGGAAGAAAAGGUUCUGGCUAAUACCUGGGACUCAUGACGGUACCUGAAGAAUAAGCAACGGCUAACUACGUG
rnacentral:rRNA from 1 species